UGCACUUCUCCCCUAGUAGGACGUCGCGACCCGUUGGGUGUCGGCCUACGGCUCGGUUGGUCGCCUGUCGCGCAAGCGUGCAAACGUUAACGCGGCAGAUCACCGGUCGCCCGGCCGGCUGCCCGGCGGUAUAGAACGCAUUAUCAUGGUAUUGAGCCGCACGCUUGUCUCGUGCGUCCUGGCUCGUCGGCAGGCUCGCCUCGCUCGGAUUUACGGACCUAGCGCCGUUGCCGGGUGCUUGGCGUGGCCGUUAGUCGACGAUGUCCUCGGACCGGCUCUUAAAUUCUCACAAUAUACCAGUCGGCGACGCUACUGCUUUGGGUACUUUCAGGACCCGUCUUGAAACACGGACCAAGGAGUCUAACAUGUGCGCGAGUCAUUGGGAUUGUUUGAAACCUAAAGGCGCAAUGAAAGUGAAGGUCGUCCUUAGCGUCGACCGAGGGAGGAUGGCUCGCGUCACGAUGCGAGCCCGCACUCCCGGGGCGUCUCGUGCUCAUCGCGAGCAGAGGCGCACCCAGAGCGUACACGUUGGGACCCGAAAGAUGGUGAACUAUGCCUGGUCAGGACGAAGUCAGGGGAAACCCUGAUGGAGGUCCGUAGCGAUUCUGACGUGCAAAUCGAUCGUCGGAACUGGGUAUAGGGGCGAAAGACUAAUCGAACCAUCUAGUAGCUGGUUCCCUCCGAAGUUUCCCUCAGGAUAGCUGGCACUCGCUUGAGCGAGUCUCAUCUGGUAAAGCGAAUGAUUAGAGGCCUUGGGGCCGAAACGACCUCAACCUAUUCUCAAACUUUAAAUGGGUGAGAUCUCUGGCUUGCUUGAACGUUGAAGCCACGAGAGCAUAAUGCAAUGGAUCAGAGUGCCAAGUGGGCCAAUUUUGGUAAGC
rnacentral:rRNA from 1 species